rnacentral:lncRNA from 1 species
AAAUAAUUUUUACCUUCUCGAAAAAGAAAUGAGAGAGCAAAGCCCUAUUCCACUCAGAGGAAAGAGCAUGUGCAAAGGCUUUAAAAGCAGCAAGUUCGUGGAAUAACAUGGAACAAUGAGAAACAGAAAGAAAGCUCUGAAAGUUUUUAGGAUGGUAGUAGGGAGGAGGAGUUCGGCGUGUGAACACCUCUGAAAUACUAAUGCCAAUGCUAUCAUAGACAUUAUCUUCUCACCUUGUUAGGAAGAUGGUCCUUGUAAACUUGAUCUUGGGCCGGGUUUGGUGGCUUACGCCUGUAAUCCCAGCACUUUGGGAGGCUGAGGCAGGCAGAAGACAAGUUCAAGAGUUCGAGACCAGCCUGGCCAACAUGGUGAAACCCCAUCUCUACUAAGAACACAAAAAUUAGCCGGGCGUGGUGGUGUGUGCCUGUAAUCCCAGCUACUCAGGAGGCUGAGGCAGGAGAAUCGCUUGAACCCGGUAGGCAGAGUUUGCAGUGAGCCGAGAUCGUGCCACUGCACUCCAGCCUGGGUGACAGAGCAAGACUUCAUCUAGAGAAAAACAACAACAACAACAAGAAAAAACUUGAUCUUGAUAAUUAGCAAGUGUUGAUUAGCCUUGCCAAGACUGCAAAUUCCCCAACAGACAGAGCUCAUGGAGAAGGCUUUAAAGUUAUGCACCAUUAAUUCAGAAUUCAUGUAUCAAUGGAAUUUUCCAACGAUGAAGACCUGCUGGGUUUUCAGUUUGGAACCAUCAUUUAAGGAAACAGACUGUCUCUGUCAUUUAGAAGACUAAAAUCUAAAUGCAAAAAUAAGAUUUAAAGAAAUUACAUAAAACUG